CGCCAGCUCCCUGGUCCCCCCCCCCCCCCCAGCAGGUCCAGAGGAAGGCCUUUUUGCUUUGCUGAGCUGGGGGGAGAAGAAGACUUAUGAACGGCUGAAGAUACGAGGAGCAGUGUUCUAAGAGGGCAGUUGGAGUUGCCCAGAGGAAACGAAUAUCAGAGGAAGUAGGUUGUGAGACAGAGCAGAAGAUGAGAGAGUCGAGCUUUGGAAAGAGAGAAAGAGAUGAUCAAGGAGGCUUUUAAAGAAAUUUUAAUGUCUAACCCAGUGCUACACAUGCUGUCACAUUCCUGGGAGAGGAUGACUCCUAGCCAGGACUCCGCCAUUAGCAGGAAAGCAAUGGAGGUUCAAGCAGCAGAGCGCCCUGAGCUGGCUGAAGUUCCUAAAGGGCUGCCCUGGCUCCUGUGCAGAGGAUGGAGUGUGAGGGGAGAGAGAGGAAGUAGACUAACAGAAAAAGGAUGCUGGCUUGGACCUGGAGGCGGCAGUAGAAAUGAUUUCAGAACCAGACAGGAGUGGAUCCAAAUUCCUCCUGAGAACCGUGGCAGCUCCAUGAUUUGGCUAACUCACAAAACCUCCUUAAGGCUCAGGGCUCGAAGUAAAGGGCUUUGGGGAUGAAAAGUUACAAGAUAGAAGGCUUCUGGAUUCCUGGGUCAUCCUUUGGAGGAGAGCUGCUCAGGAGAGUCACCCGACGUAUCCAGCUGUGAUGGGAAACCAACUUUGUGUGCUACACCACUGAGUGUUUGAGCUUUGUUUGUUAUCUUAGCUUAUCCUGUAUUAACACGUUUACACUUAGUGUCCAGAAAGGGCUAAAAUUCCAUCACCCCAGGGUUUAGAAAGGAUCAUCUAUAUAUUACCUAUCAAAAAAUCUCUACCAGGGGCCGGCCCGGUGGCGCAGCAGUUAAGUUUGCACGUUCCACUUUGGUGGCCUGGGGUUUGCCGGUUCAGAUCCCAGCUACGGACAUGGCACCGCUUGGCAAGCCAUGCUGUAGUAGGCGUCCCACAUAUAAAGUAGAGGAACAUGGGCAUGGAUGUUAGCUCAGGGCCAGUCUUCCUCAGCAUAAAGAGUGGCAGCAGAUGUUAGCUCAAGGCUAAUCUUCCUCAAAAAAAAAAAAAAUCUCCACCACUUAUUUGCUCACACAAAGUUCAUUUUGCCGAUGGUGAUGCAAGGUUAAACGAGGCCAAGAGUUUGGUGAGAUGAAUGCUUUCACGUGUUGCUUACACUGUAAAUUGCUGGAAGGUUUUGGAAGGCAAUAUUUAUCAAUUGUCAUAAAAUAUUUGUACCCUUCAAGCGAGUAGUUCCAUUCCUAGGAAACUAGCUCAAGGAAACUACGAGAAAUGUGUGUAAAAAAUACGUACAAGCCCAUUUAUGGUCAUCGUGGAAACAACAUAACUUUUCAACAACAUCAGGAUGGCGGGAAAUUAUGGUACCUGCAUGAAUGGGAUAUCAUGUGUCAAUUACGUUUGUGUUUAUGAAGACAUCUUAAUGGCAUGGGCAAAUGUUUAUGUUAGAAUGUUAGUGAAUAUCAGGAACUAGAACUACGUAAAACCCUACUUACUCUGUAUAUAUAUUUAUAGGAAGAAAGCUUGGAAGAAAAUGCACCCAAUUGAACAGUUAAUAGUGGGUUUUGUCUUCCUGAUGGAAUUGUAUGGAACUUCUAUUUUCUUCUGUGUACUUUCCUGUAUUUUCCAGUUUUAAAGAUAUAUUAUUUUUUAUAAUCAAGAAAAAAUCACAAAAAGCUUUAUUUAAAAAUGUUAUGCCAUGAGUCAGCCCUGAUGGCCUAGCAGUUAAAAUUCGGCACGCUCCACUUCGGUGGCCCGGGUUUGGUUCCCAGUCACAGAACCAGACCACCCGUCUGUCAGUUGCCACGCUGUGGCGGCAGCUCACACAGAAGAACUAGAAGGACUUACAACUAGGGUAUACAACUAUGUACUGGGGCUUUGGGGAGGGAAAAAAAAAGGGAGUAAUACUGGGAAUAGAUGUUCACUCAGGGUGAAUCUUUCCCAGCAAAAAAAAAGAAAAAAAAAUUAUGCCAGAGUGUCCCCAACAGGUUGAGGCUGCCAUUGGGCUUCUCAAAGGUGUGGUUGAACUUCCUGAGAUAUAAUCAGGGGAUAGUCAUUACCCAAGCCUCUGAAUGUAGCCCUUCUCUGACGGCCACUGAACGGUUCAUCAGAAAAGCCUCAGAUCUGCUACGGCUGUGGAGUGUCUGCGCAUGUAACAGGGGCAGUAAUCAGAGCAAAUGACUUCUGCAAGUUGGGGAGAAGUUUGCAAGUGAUGCUCAGCCCCACCUGACCUCUGACCUCUGCUGUGAAAAUGAAGAUAGAGGAAGAGGAAGGAGCACUCAGGGAAAAGUGGGGGGGGGGUGCGCGGUGGAGUGGAGAGCAAGAGUAGAGAGAGGAAGCAGAAGAGAGAGAAAGAACGUGAAGGCAGCAGAUCUUGGGGCAGAAAAAGGUACUUAGCUCCUAGCAUUGGAGAGAGAUGUCAGCAGGGAAUUUGCAACAGAAUAAGCAGAGUUAGCGAAUUAGAGGUAGAAGCAGCUUGACUAAUUGCAAGUGGAGAGACUGAGAACUUUCUGUAAUUAUUACCGAAGUCCUGAUAUCUAUCUAGACUAUGCAUUCUGCUGUAAGGGACCAGGUUAGCAUUACCAAACAAUGAUAAUAAUAAUAAAAAGAGAUGAGCAUCCAAAUAUGACCAACAUGAAGAUAUUUCCCUUACUCUAAAAAUGAAGAAUUGGCUGUUAGUAUCACAUCAGCGUUUUAUUGUUUUUAUUACUUGUUUUAAUGUUCCCCUGUGGCUCCAGAGAUGCAAAUGGGAAUGUUCGAUAGAGAGAAAAUUGAGUGUGGGUCUUCUCUAUAAUCAACGUGCUUAGUACAGCACAGUGACUUGGAGAAGGAGCGGGUGAAACACAUGGCGUCGACCGCUUCGUCUAUGACUCAGUUCAUUAAUUUAUUUACUCAUUCACUCAGCCCAAGCGCACUGAGAAGCAACUGAAAUGCACGAGGCACUGGAGACACAGACAUGAAUCAGUUCCCUGUUUUCAAAGAGCCCAGGGUCUAAUAAGAAAGACAACCAUGCAAAUAAACCGACUAUUACACAGCAUGAGAAGUGCUGUAACUAGGUAACAUACAAAGUGCGGGGAGCACAGCCUUAAUGGGACGGUAUUUUCAUGAACAUGUCGGAGUUCCCAGCUUAAGGGAGCAGAAAGAGAAUUCCAGGCAGUGGCAGGAACAUGCCAUGCAAAGUCAGAGACGUGAGAGGCAGAGCAUGUUGGGGGACCAAGAGGGAGGCAGGUUAGAGAUCGAGUGCAAAUGCCCAGCCACGAUUUUAUAGGCUUUUCCAGUUGUGUAGAUACCAAAGAUCAGGUUGCUCAAUAUCCAUUCUGUCUUCUUCUAGAUGCUUUCUGAUAAUGCAGAGGCUGGACAGGAAUAGAAUCCUAUAUUUGCCAGACCCCGGUACAGCUGGGGUUCUGCAUGAGAUUUGGGCUCUGCCAGUCAGAUGUAUCCACGUGAGAUUCAACAGGUGGAAGUGAAACAUGAUGAGGUGGAAGCCACGCUUCUGCUGCUUCUAGUUCUGCUGGCAAGUACGCUCAUGCGGGCAUUUGGGUUUGGGGUAUUUGGGUUUAGGGUUUUCUUUGGCAUUUUUUUUUUUUAAAGAUUGGCACCUGAACUAACAACUGUUGCCAAUCUUCUUUUUCUUUUCUGCUUUAUCUUCCCAACCCCCCUCUCCCGUCCCGUACAUAGUUGUGUAUCUCAGUUGCAGGUCCUUCUAGUUGUGGGAUGUGGGACGCCGCCUCAACGUAGCCUGAUGAGCAGUGCCACGUCCACGCCCAGGAUCCGAACCCUGGGCCACCGCAGCGAAGUGCGUGAACUUAACCACUCGGCCACGGAGCCAGCCCCUUUCUUUGGCAUUUGAACAGAGGUCACAACUGCCUUCCUUGUAUUUUACAAAAGAAAGGGGCACCUAUCACCACUUCUCCCCCCCAGAUCUUAAUAUAAGGCUUUGCCCUGGAAUAAAAAAUCAUCCUUGGGGGCCUGGCCUAUUGCUGUAGUGGUUAAUUUCAUGCUGUCCGCUUUGGCAGCUCUGGGGUCUACGGUUCGCAGUUUCUGAUCCCUGGCGUGGACCUACACACUGCUCAUCAAGCCAUACUGUGGCAGUGUCCCACCAAAAAUAGAGGAAGACUGGCACAGAUAUUAGCUCAGGGCCAAUCUUCUUCACCACCCCCCCAAAAUCCUCCUGAGUUUCAAACAAUGGGACGAUUUGAAAUAUUGAUAUUUAGGAAGCCUCCUUUAGUCAAGCCACCAUUGGUUUGCUUUUGGGCUCUUCCUCUGCCUGAUACAUAUUUCCAUUAAGAGAAAGUGGUGUUUUAGAAAAGCAGAUUUGGAUACACAUCGGGAUGUUAUAAAUUCACAUAUAUUAUAGAGUGUGGUGGAGGGGUGAUAAUUUUCAUUUAGCCAUCUCUCUUCAUCAUCCCCCAAACAUCGUCAGGGAAUGCCUUCCUUGUGAUGGUUAAGCCUGCUGGAGUAGAGUAGAGAGUGCAGGGGAGAAGUAAUGAAAGCAGCUGGGCCUCACUUCCUCUCUCACCAGUAAACUCAGGGCAAAGCUCUACCAUCUCUCUCCGUCUCCCUGUCCCUGUCUCUCUGUCCUGUAAAAUUAGGAUACUCGACAUUCGAGAACAGCACGCUCGGAAAUGCUAAUCACCUAGGAAGUGUGCCCUGUGCAUUUUCUGCAUUUUCAGUAAAGGAAAAGAGCUUGGUGAGGACUCUCAUUCAUUUGGUCUGAAUCCCUGUCUUAUUUGCAUAUUUUGUGUUUCAAGGAAAAGGAGGUGAGAAACUUCGUGUUUAUCUCCAAAACCCCAAUAUUACUUUUUUUUAAGUAAAAAUAACAUGUAAAAGGUAAGAAGUGUUUUAUAUUUUUCUGCACACUUAGUCUCCUUUUUAUAUGCUUUUACAAAAAGAGUAUUGGAUAACAAAUUUCACACUUAGAGACUUGUCACCGGAAAUAAAAAUAAAUAAAAUCUUCAAUUUAUAUACUUUAUUGCAGAAAAGUAUUGAGUAAUCAGUAAAAAACUGUAGACUAAAGCAAUAUAGUAGGCUAAAAUACAGUAUGUGAAAUAGAAUGGAGGUCAAAAUUCAAGAAGAGAAAACCGUAAUGUUAAAUAUCAGACAAUUAAAGAAGAUUUGCAUAUGUAUUUCUUUAAAGGGAUGACGGUGGGAAUUAACGUUUAUGAUAUUUACAUGCCACUGGAUACAUUUAAAAUAAUUAUAUGUCAGCUUUGUUUUUAAAAUUAACACUUCCAAUGUGUCAUAAUUACAUCAUUUGCAGCUAUUUAAUGAUGAAAUAUUUUAGAUGGCAACUUAAAAAUGGGCAAGCAGGUACAUAGUUUUUAAAAAUUCUUUUAGAAGGCAUGACAAUAAAAAAAAAAAACCGCGAAGGCCACUUAUCUAGGGACAAGUCUGCAGAGUUUCUCGAUGACUUCAACAACCCUCUCCUCCUCCCACCUCCCCUGCCUCACCCCCACCACCUGGAGAGCUGAGCCUAGGUGGGAUCAGAGAAUGCAAAUUCACUUUAACAUUAUCUGGAGAAAAAUACCACUGGAGGCAUCAGCCUGCUGCUCGAGAGCCGUGUUCAGUUGCAUCCCAAACUGAAACAGGAGGGACCUCAGGUCCUGGGCUGUGUUCAUUAUUCAUGCCUAGGGUUCCCUCUGUCAGGCUAAUCCAGACUUGACAAAAAUCAAAAGUGUGGGCAUGUCUUGCCAGGAUGUGUCACACACAUGUCACUCCACCAUUUACACACGGCUGACUUUACCACCGUUUACAACUUUCGCUUACAAGCGGGAACAUGUUUGUUUGUGUAUUGAUUGGUAUUUGGAAAAGUGUUAAGGGUUGAUAAACAGUUGCAUAUAAGGGAGAAAGUGAAAAAUGGCUCAUUGACACACUUUUCUUCACCUUCCUUCUUGCCUUGGUCCCCAUCUCGAAGGUUCCCUACUUUACUUCCACACUUCAGGACACAUCUGGCUCUUGUGAAUGAAAAGGUUUUAAAACCCAGGAGGUUUCACUCGCGAAGGGGCUCGGAGUGGUCUCCAGAGGACUUCUUGCCUCAGAUUGUCUGUCUGUCCGUGAUUUAGAAACCCCACUGAGAUCCUGCCUUCUUCAAGUCUUUGUUAGGGAGCCAAAGCCCUCCAGGCAGCUUCCCCAGAUGUCGGCACCUUGGCAACGCCCUGGUUUGAACACGAUUUUAAUAGCGACUAAUUCCCUCGGCUGUGGCACGGCCGCAAAUGGCUCAUCGUUUUACAGGCAAGUUUCAACAGUCGUGUAACCAGAUGAGAAUACUUUCCCAAACAAUAGCGUUGUGGCAGAAAACAGCUAAGGCAUGGCAGGGGGACUGCAAAUGGAAGGUGGGAUGAAUUAUCUACUUUUUGGGGUGACAACUUACCAAAAUCUUCAAUAGUCGCUGAAGGGAAGGGAGCUGUUUGCAACUAUGAGCAGAUUAUUUCUGGUACAUUUGUAAUGUCCAAGAGGGAGUUUGUACUCAGGGACAAUGGCUGCGGGUAAAGUGGGUGUGGAUUGUUGGAAAAGUUAUUCCUCGGUUCCAACCCAGCUUGGAGGGAGGGAAACGCCACGGUCCAGAAAGCCUGCUGGACACACGCGGGCCUGCAGCAUCACAUUUGUCCUUUGUUUUUUGUGGGUUUUUUUGAGGAAGAUUAGCCCUGAGCUAACAUCUGCUUCCAAUCCUCCUCUUUUUGCUGAGGAAGACUGGCCCUGAGCUAACAUCCAUACCCAUCUUCCUCUACUUUAUAUGUGGGACGUCCACCACAGCAUGGCCCACCAAAGAGUGCCGUGUCCACACCCAGGACCCGAACUGGCGAACCCUGGGCCACUGAAGCAGAAAGUGCGCCCCUAACCGCUGCGCAACCGGGCCGGCCCCUUGUCCUUUGUUUUUGAUGAGCGCAUCACCCCAUGCUCCCCCGCUGCCUACCACCCACCCACUGGGUCAUCAGAAAUCCUGCUGCUCCCUAGGGUGCUCUGGUGGUCCAUUCCUUCAGGAUUCUGCUCCAUGAUGGGAGGGGAUGGUGGGAGGGUACCAAGGGAUGGAGUGCCUGGGGCUGGGAUGUUCAGUCUCUGAGGUGUUAACCUCUGAAACAUAAGGCAUUACUCAAACAUCGGCCAUUUGCCUUGUAGCCUGUGAUAAACUAACUCAUCAGUUAAUUUAAAGCCACGCUGAGUCUAGUUGGAGGUUCGGCCGGGGUUCCUCUCACAGUAGGAAAGCACAGAUGGCACGUAGGAAGAGGUACUCACCAAAGGCCACCUUUUAUUGCAUUCAUUUCCAAAGAUAGUUAUUGCUCCUUGAAAAUCUGCUUUGUGGCAGGUUCUUUAAGCAGCUUAAUGUGAAUUCUUAUCUUUGGGCUACCAAGCCAAUAGUCUUAUUCCUUUUUCCCCAGAUGAAGAAGCUGAGACUCAGAGAGGGGAUUGAAUUUUCCCCAGAUUAGCCCUGAGCUAACAUCUGCUGCCAAUCCUCCUCUUUUGGCUGAGGAAGACUGGCCCUGAGCUAACAUCCAUGCCCAUCUUCCUCUACUUUAUAUGUGGGACGCCUGCCACAGCAUGGCUUGCCAAGUGGUGCCAUGUCCACACCCAGGAUUGGAACCUGUGAACCCGAGGCCGCCGCAGCGGAACGUGAAAACUCAACCGCCGCGCCACCGGGCCAGCCCCUACUCAUCUAUUCUUGAAUGAGGAAACUGAAACUAAGAGAGUUAAGUAAUUUGCCUGAAUUCGCAUAUAUAGUUACUAACAGGGACAGAACUGAGACCCAGAUCUCCUGACUCUUAAGUCAAAGUCAAAGUGUUUUGUACAACCGAAUAGCGUCGAAUCUACUGUUCUGUUCUAAGUGGAAUUGUUUUCCCUGAAAAUGCAUUAGCUGCAUUAUUGCGGCCUGUCACACAGAACUAGGGAAUCACUCUGUAAAUUGUCCCCACUGAAUUUGCAGUUCCCAGGCUAAAAAUUAACCUUAGUUUCAUUUGAAGACUUAGAGAGUCAACAUUCAGGGUGCUUUCUAAGUCUUGGAGAACACAUCUAAGAAACAUUGGCUCCUGCAGGGACCCCCAGAGGGCUCUGACAACUACACCAAUUAACCAAGCGCUGAACUUGUUCACUGAAGUCACAGUGCCAGCAUAACCUUGGGCAAAGCCUCUUGAAAUCCCUGUGCCUUUGGUUCAUCAUUUGUGAAAUAGAAAGAAGAAGAAUUGCUUCCUUGCUCACCUCACAGGGUUAGUGUGAGGUUCAAAUAGAAUGAUAUAUGCAAGGUCCUUUGCAAACUGCGUAGCGCCUUGCACACAGGAGAUCCUAUUGCCAUUACUGCAUUUGUCCAUCCCGUAUCUGCUAAUUUCUGCUCUUUGGCUCUUAUCUCCUAUUCUUAAUCCCUAUUCCUGGACUUUGUUGAAAGCCCUUUAGGCAUCUAUUGAAAUGACUAGUUGGUUUUUCUUAUGUAAGCAGCAUUUCUCCAAGCAGAAUCAGCUGUAGAGUAAAAACUUUACAAAAUAAAAAAGAGGGAAAAAAACUAACUCAUCCUGUAUGCAGGUCCCUGUGCUGGGUGCUUAACUUAUUUACUCCUUGUGACCAGUCUGUAAGGACAAUACCACUCUCUCUGCUUUAGGUGUAGAAAUGGAGGAAAAGAGACACAAGGUCAUUGCUGUAAGUAGGAGUGCCAGGAUGUGACUCUGUUAAGUUACUCAGCACAGGGCCUGGCUCAUAGAAAAUGCUCGACGAAUGGAAACUUUUUAAUAUUGCACUGAUGCCUCUGGCAGUGAUGAUGCGGACCCCCUCCCCCGACAUUGGAUGGGCUUGCUGGAAUCAGAUGCUUGGAAAGCAGCCAUAUGAAGAAGAUUUACAAAUCCUUUCGUCUCAACAUGGAGCAUGGUAGUAAGACUUUCUCUGGUAGAGCGUCAGGUUUCUAUUAAGUAUGUUAUUGUUGACUUUUUCGUUUAAUAUGCACGAUGCUGGGAGCAGAAUUUGCCAAUGCUGACGACUUGGUAACAUUUCAGAACAUUCAGAAAGUGCAGUGGUCACUAGGAGGCAGCAUGGGUUAACUAAGAACCAAAGUGCUUUGGGGACAGCAUUAUUAGACCUGCAGAUUAGAAAAAUGCCAUCAGUGUAGUACGUCUUGAUUGACACAAAAUAUUGUGAGCUAAGUGGAGAAAAGGGAGCUGGACACAGGGAACUUCAAACAGCUGGUGGAAAAUUAUACCCAAAAAAAUACUGACCCAGCACACGUGAUAAGGUUUCAUCCUUGAUCCUGUUCUAUGUAUCAGUCUUAUUAGUGCCUUUGUCAAAGAUCAAUGAUCUGCUUAUCAGAUUUAGAGACGAUGUAAAGCUGGGAAGGACGGAGAGUAUGUUGGACGAUAGAAUACAGGUUUAAAAUGAACAUUAGGCAAACUAAGUUAAAACUUAAAUAUUAACCUAAGUCCUCCAC
ensembl:lncRNA